GUGGGGAAUAUUGCACAAUGGGGGAAACCCUGAUGCAGCGACGCCGCGUGAAGGAUGAAGUAUUUCGGUAUGUAAACUUCUAUCAGCAAGGAAGAAAAUGACGGUACUUGACUAAGAAGCCCCGGCUAAAUACGUGCCAGCAGCCGCGGUAAUACGUAUGGGGCAAGCGUUAUCCGGAUUUACUGGGUGUAAAGGGUGCGUAGGUGGCAAGGCAAGUCAGAAGUGAAAGCUCGGGGCUCAACCUCGGAACUGCUUUUGAAACUGCCAGGCUAGAGUGCAGGAGAGGUAAGUGGAAUUCCUAGUGUAGCGGUGAAAUGCGUAGAUAUUAGGAGGAACACCAGCGGCGAAGGCGGCUUACUGGACUGUAACUGACACUGAGGCACGAAAGCGUGGGGAGCAAACAGG
rnacentral:rRNA from 1 species